rnacentral:rRNA from 1 species
GACAGGGGCCUCAAGCGUUAGGCGGAAUCACUGGGCUUAAAGCGUGUGUAGGCGGGUCGUUAAGUGUCUUGUGAAAUCCCACGGCUCACCCGUGGAACUGCUGGGCAUACUGGCGAUCUUGGGCCAACUAGGGGCAACUGGAACAAGCGGUGGAGCGGUGAAAUGCGUAGAUAUCGCUUGGAACGCCAACGGUGAAAACAGGUUGCUGGGGUUGUGCCGACGCUGAGACACGAAAGCCAGGGGAGCAAACGGG